GUUCCUUAAUUUGCCUUUUCUCUCAGGAGAAUCAGUACCUUAAACUGGCCACAAGGUGGUAGUAGAAGGCCGCUAUCGUCCUUUAGAUUGAAUUUGAUAAGUUUCCUUAGUGCGCGAAAAAGUGUUCGGGGUGGUCAUCUUACCGAAAUACGCCAUCUUUUCUUUCUCUUGCCGCACCCAGUCCUGUGUGGAUGCUACGCUGGAGCUAGAGCUGGAUUUACUCAGAAAACAGACCAUAAAAGAGGUAUUUAGACACUAAAGUUAACUGCAGAAGUUACGGAAGUAGACGAGAAUCAUCAGACGUCUUUGAACCACGUAGAAAUCGAUAUUCCGCUGUGCUUUUUUUUUUGAGGACUCUCUUCCGCGGGACUUCGAUCUCCAUCCAUCUGCCACUGUGUGUUGAUGUCCAUCCACGUCCACAUCUCCAUCUCCAUCACGCUGGGAUCGGCCAUCACCUCGUACCGUCUCAUUGGACAUUCAUUAUAAGGGGGAGGUGGAGUUCAACAGGAGCAGCAUCAUUACUGUUAUUAGAUCCACCUGUGUGUUCCCUGCAAUGCCCAGGCAGCAAACACUUAACAGGUCCGGUGUGUUCCUGCACCAACAUCACUAAGACACAUUCCUAUGCACAUGAUGAUGCCGUGAUGUUAACCAGACGUCCAACCCAUCAUCUAAUAUUGUUACAAAUAGCCUCCCAAAUAAAUCACAUUUUCCCCAUUUGUGCCUCUGGAUCAUAUACAUGGAGCAUCUGUCUGUACAUAAGAAUGCAGAAAAUCUAAUUCCUCCAGUGUUUGCUGUGUCACAUGCUGCGUCUGGCCUCCUGCAUGUGGACCGUUUCAUUUUACCCCUGUGGGAAUUGAAAACAAUCACGUUACAGUGGAG
ensembl:lncRNA